rnacentral:rRNA from 1 species
AUUCCAGCUCCAGUAGCGUAUAUUAAAGUUGUUGCAGUUAAAAAGCUCGUAGUUGGAUUUCUGAUAGUAGCGUUGGGCCCGCCCGGGUUACCGGUGUGAGUGCCUGUUCGCUCCUUUCAUCCUUCUAGAGAACGGUUCUCUCCUUCAUUGGCAGUGGGAUCGCAAUCUAGAUCUUUUACUUUGAAAAAAUUAGAGUGUUUAAAGCAGGCUUGUGCUAUGAAUACAUUAGCAUGGAAUAAUAAUUUAGGACUUUAGUUCUAUUUUGUUGGUUUCUAGAACUGAAGUAAUGAUUGAUAGGGAUAGUUGGGGGUGCUAGUAUUCAGCGGCCAGAGGUGAAAUUCUUGGAUUCGCUGAAGACUAACUUAUGCGAAAGCAUUCACCAAGGAUGUCUUCAUUG